rnacentral:rRNA from 1 species
UACGUAGGUGGCAAGCGUUGUCCGGAUUUACUGGGCGUAAAGAGCGCGCAGGCGGUUGAUUAAGUCGAAUGUGAAAGCCCCCGGCUCAACUGGGGAGGGUCAUUCGAUACUGAUCGACUUGAAGGCAGGAGAGGGAAGUGGAAUUCCGGGUGUAGUGGUGAAAUGCGUAGAUAUCCGGAGGAACACCAGUGGCGAAGGCGACUUCCUGGCCUGUUUCUUGACGCUGAGGCGCGAAAGCUAGGGGAGCAAACGGG